rnacentral:rRNA from 1 species
GCUUAACACAUGCAAGUCGAACGGAGAACUUAUUUCUGUAAUUUCUUAGUGUCAAGCGGGUGAGUAACGCGUGGGCAACCUGCCCUCCAGUUGGGGACAACAUUCCGAAAGGGAUGCUAAUACCGAAUGUGCUCCCUCCUCCGCAUGGAGGACGGAGGAAAGAUGGUCUCUGCUUGCUAGCUAUCGCUGGAGGAUGGGCCCGCGUCUGAUUAGCUAUUUGGUGGGGUAACGGCUCACCAACGAUAUGAUCAGUAUCCGAUCUGAAAGGAUGACCGGCCGCAACGGAACUGAGACCCAGACUCCACUCCUACGGGAGGCAGAAGAGGGGAAUCUUCCGCACUGAGCGAAAACCUGACCGAGCAACGCCACGUAAGUGAGGACGGCCUUCUGGUUGUAUAACUCAGUGAUCCAUGGACGAAAAGGAAGAGUGCGAAUAACAAACUGCAUUGACAAGUACCGAUAAAAGCAAGCCACGGCUAACUACGUGCCAAAAGCCGAGGAAAUACGCAGGAGGCAAACGUUGUCCGGAAUUAUUGGGCGUAAAGCGCGCGUAAGCGGCUUCCCAAGACCCUCUUAAAAGUGCGGGGCUUAACCCCUUGAUGUGAAGGAAACUGGGAAGCUUGAGUAUCGGAGAGGAAAGUGGAAUUCCUAGUGUAGCGGAGAAAUGCCUACAAAUUACGAAUAACACCGGUGGCUACGGCGACUUUCUUGACGAUAACUGACGCCUAGGCGCGAAUCCGUGAGGAGCAAACAGGAUUAGAUUCCCUGUUAGUCCACGCCGUAAACGAAUGGAUAUUAGGUGUAGGAGGGUAUCGACCCCUCCUGUGCCCGAAUACAAGCAAUAAUUAUCCAGCCGGGGAAGUGGGAUGGCAAGAUUAAAAAUCAAAGGAAUUGCCGGGGGCCCGCACAAGCGGUGGAGUAUGUGGUUUAAUUAGACGCAACGCGAAGAACCUUACCAGGUCUUGACAUCGAUGGCAAUGUGCAGAAAUGUGGAGUUUUUUUUUGGAAGACGAGAAAACAGGUGGUGCACGGUUGUUGUCAGUUGGUGUGGUGAGAUGUUGGGUUAAGUCCCGCAACGAGCCCAACCCUUAUCAUUUGUUCCCAGCAUGUAAAGGUGGGGACUCAAAUGAGACC